UACGAAGGGUGCAAACGUUGCUCGGAAUUAUUGGGCGUAAAGCGCACGCAGGCGGUCUCUUAAGUUUGGAGUGACAGUUGGUGGCUUAACUGCCAAAGUGCUUCGAAAACUGAGAGACUUGAGGGCUUCAGAGGGACACGGAAUUCCGGGUGGAGUGGUGAAAUGCGUAGAGAUCCGGAGGAACACCAAAGGCGAAGGCAGUGUCCUGGGGAGUACCUGACGCUCAGGUGCGAAAGCCAGGGGAGCGAACGGG
rnacentral:rRNA from 1 species